AUUGAACGCUGGCGGCAGGCCUAACACAUGCAAGUCGAGCGGAUGAAGGGAGCUUGCUCCUGGAUUCAGCGGCGGACGGGUGAGUAAUGCCUAGGAAUCUGCCUGGUAGUGGGGGAUAACGUCCGGAAACGGGCGCUAAUACCGCAUACGUCCUGAGGGAGAAAGUGGGGGAUCUUCGGACCUCACGCUAUCAGAUGAGCCUAGGUCGGAUUAGCUAGUUGGUGGGGUAAAGGCCUACCAAGGCGACGAUCCGUAACUGGUCUGAGAGGAUGAUCAGUCACACUGGAACUGAGACACGGUCCAGACUCCUACGGGAGGCAGCAGUGGGGAAUAUUGGACAUUGGGCGAAAGCCUGAUCCAGCCAUGCCGCGUGUGUGAAGAAGGUCUUCGGAUUGUAAAGCACUUUAAGUUGGGAGGAAGGGCAGUAAGUUAAUACCUUGCUGUUUUGACGUUACCAACAGAAUAAGCACCGGCUAACUUCGU
rnacentral:rRNA from 1 species